AUGCGGAUUCAAUUUGAUUUUUAAUACAUUAAUACGUUUUCAAUUAAAUAACGGUGAUAUAUUACAAAUGAUAACACAUUCAUUACUUUCAUUCGAAAUCAAACUUGUCACCACAUAUACAAAGAUGAUACAUAACCAGAAUAGAUUGAUGACUAUCUAUACCUCUUUUAUUCAACAUCAAACGUUACUGAUUCAUGAAAUUUAUUACUUAGAAUGUGCAUCAUGUUUGAUGAUAUAA